rnacentral:rRNA from 1 species
AGCGUUGUCCGGAAUUAUUGGGCGUAAAGGGCUCGUAGGUGGUUUGUCGCGUCGUCUGUGAAAUUCCGGGGCUUAACUCCGGGCGUGCAGGCGAUACGGGCAUAACUUGAGUACUGUAGGGGUAACUGGAAUUCCUGGUGUAGCGGUGAAAUGCGCAGAUAUCAGGAAGAACACCGGUGGCGAAGGCGGCUCUCUGGUCUGUUACUGACGCUGAGGCUCGAAAGCAUGGGUGAACAGGAUUAGAUACCCUGGUAGUCC